UAGGGAAUCUUCGGCAAUGGACGAAAGUCUGACCGAGCGACGCCGCGUGAGUGAAGAAGGUUUUCGGAUCGUAAAACUCUGUUGUUAGAGAAGAACAAGGGUGAGAGUAACUGUUCACCCCUUGACGGUAUCUAACCAGAAAGCCACGGCUAACUACGUGCCCG
rnacentral:rRNA from 1 species